rnacentral:rRNA from 1 species
GACGAACGCUGGCGGCAUGCCUAACACAUGCAAGUCGAACGAGACGUUCGGGCUUAGUGGCGCACGGGGGCGUAACGCGUGGGGACCUACCCUUGGGUUCGGAAUAACUCCCCGAGGGGGGUGCUAAUACCGGAUAGGGUAUUCGGACCAAAGAGCUUUCGCCUUUGGAUGGGCCCGGGUUGGAUUAGCUGGUUGGUAGGGUAAAAGCAUACCAAGGCGACGAUCCAUAGCUGGUCGGAGAGGAUGAUCAGCCACGCUUGGACUGCGACACGGCCCACACUCCUACGCAGCGGUGCAGUGUGGAACAUUGGACGCUGAGGCAUAGUGUGGCCCAGCAGCGUCGCGUGAGUGAUGCAGCCGUUAGGGUUGUAAAGCCCUUUUACCCGGGACGAUAAUGACAGUACUGGGUAAAUAAGCUCCGGCUAACUCCGUG